UACGUAGGCAGCAAGCGUUGUUCGGAGUUACUGGGCGUAAAGGGUGUGUAGGCGGUUCCCUAAGUUUGGUGUGAAAUCUCCCGGCUUAACCGGGAGGGUGCGCCGAAAACUGGGGAGCUAGAGUAUGGGAGAGGAAAGUGGAAUUCCUGGUGUAGCGGUGAAAUGCGUAGAUAUCAGGAGGAACACCUGCGGUGUAGACGGCUUUCUGGACCAUCACUGACGCUGAGACACGAAAGCGUGGGUAGCAAACAG
rnacentral:rRNA from 1 species